CAAUAGCGUAUAUUAAAGUUGUUGCGGUAAAAAAGCUCGUAGUUGGAUUUCUACCGAAGAUAGCCGGUCGGGUCUUCGACCUUGUAUCUGGUUUUGUCUUUGGUAUCCUCAUAGGGAACGUUUCUGCGCUUUAUUGCGUGGUGCGGUAUCUAUGACUUUUACUUUGAGGAAAUUAGAGUGUUCACGGCAGGCAAACGCCUUGAAUAUAUUAGCAUGGAAUAAUAACAUAGGAUCUUCGUCCUAUUUUGUUGGUUUCUAGGGCUAAGAUAAUGAUUAAUAGGGAUAAUUGGGGGCAUCUGUAUCAACGCGUCAGAGGUGGAAUUCUUGGAUUGCGUUGCGACAAACUACUGCGAAAGCAUUUGCCAAGGAUGUGUUCAUUGA
rnacentral:rRNA from 1 species